UGGGGAAUAUUGGACAAUGGGCGAAAGCCUGAUCCAGCGACGCCGCGUGGGUGAAGAAGGCCUGCGGGUUGUAAAGCCCUUUCGGUUGGGAAGAAAAGUGUCGACCUAACACGUCGGCACCUUGACGUAACCAACAAAAGAAGCACCGGCUAACUCUGUGCCAGCAGCCGCGGUAAUACAGAGGGUGCGAGCGUUAAUCGGAAUUACUGGGCGUAAAGCGCGCGUAGGCGGUUGGACAAGUCGAGUGUGAAAUCCCCGGGCUCAACCUGGGAGCGGCAUUCGAAACUGUUCGGCUAGAGUAUGGGAGAGGGAAGUGGAAUUUCAGGUGUAGCGGUGAAAUGCGUAGAUAUCUGAAGGAACAUCAGUGGCGAAAGCGACUUCCUGGACCAAUACUGACGCUCAGGUGCGAAAGCGUGGGGAGCAAACAG
rnacentral:rRNA from 1 species